UAUAUAGAGUAUGAGCAUUUAGUUACAUUCAUGUUUUUGGAGAUGAGGAGAAACGACAGAUAUACAUUUUACCUUUAAAGUAUAUUGCAAAUACGUAAGUGGAAAACAUUCAUGAAAAUAUAAAUGGAGCGGACGACUGGGCUAUAUUCGCAAUAGUUGUGAUAAGGGAUAUCAGGCUUGGACUAUUCCCUAGAGGAGCAGUGAUCAGUCAAGGAAUCCCCUUGUUGGGCCAC